GUUCUUUGCUCCCCAUCUCUACAUCAGUAGUCUGGAGGUUGUGUUGCUGAGGAAUUGAUGGCCAACCUGGAGGUGGUCCUUCAUCAUCAUCUUCAUCUAUGACGACAUUGGUGUUUUGCGAUGGUACAGCUAAAGAGUCGAAACCAGGCGGUGGACCCUCAUCUUCUUCUUCAUCAUCAUCUAAUUGCUGAUUUUCGAUGUGGCUCAACUUUUCUUCCAUUUUUU
rnacentral:misc_RNA from 1 species